ensembl:lncRNA
CUGGAAAACUGCGGUCCGUUAUGGUAAGUUUUCUGAUAAACUUUAUAGAAUAAUGAUGCUUAUUCGACAUUGUUUAAAUUAAAAGUGAUAAAAUAAAUACAGAAGUUUUAUUUUUGUAUUGUGGUAUCUGAAACCAUUACAUACAGUAUCAUCAUAGUACUUUUUUGUAAUCGCCCUAUAUCCAGCAUUUCUAGUUGAGAAUGGAGCAUCACCUGACAUAGAGAGAAGUGAUGAAGACUCAAAGAUUCUCAAAGAUUUGUCUUGAAAAUCCACAAAACUCACAGACAGUGAAUGAUGAUGCUGACAAGAGUAAAGAACCAUAUAUGGAGAUGCCAGAAUCCAGUUCUGAGGAGGAACAAAAAAUAACAUUUACAACAGAGCCCAGCUACUCUACAUGGCGAAUGAGACCAAGUUCCUAGUAAGAGUGGCUUAACAGUAUAAAAGAGCCAAACAUCGCCCACUACGAAGACACUGUUCCAGAAACCCACCCAGGAUACUGCAGAACUCAUGGGGGUCAAACAGGAAAAGGAGGCUGGCUCACUGGGGCUCAUUUUCACUCCUCUCCUUGCUCGUAGUUUUGUCCUAGAAAUCUCAGAAAAUACAUUAAAGUUUAUAUAUUACAUGUUCUUGUAGAGCAAGAUACUUGCAUUAAAGUCCUUAUGGUAGCUUUUGGAGCAUAAAACAAAUUUUCUGAAUUUUAUGCUCCAGAAAAACCCAUUAGUAGACAACAGCUGUUGUAUUCACCCACUUUUAUGGCUCUUAUACCCAAGUUUCCUGUAAGUGAAUAUUAUGUUCAUAUAAUACAGCAUAAAUGGCUGCCCACUGCUCCGGGUGUGUGUGUGUUCACUGCUGUGUGUGUGUGCACUUUGGAUGGGUUAAAUGCAGAGCACGAAUUCUGAGUAUGGGUCACCAUACUUGGCUUUAUGUCACGUCACUCAUAAACAUGUCUUUAGCAAGGCAGCUAGCCAUUUAGGGUCUGUUUCCCUUAUUCCUGAGCGCUGUGGGGUGGAUCUGUGUAAGGGGUUUCCUGCAGGGUCCCUACUACUUAGCCACUAAUUGGAUGUGGAAUGCCACCAACCAAAACAGACCAACUGCUUCUUUAGGUUUUGAUGUGUCUCAUCCAGACCCCCAGUGGGAGCUCCUGAUGAAAGCCUUCGCUUAGGAAAUAUUUUAGCCAUGUUCCCAUAAAGCCGAGCCAGACAAAUCACAUGUAGCUCCUUUCAUUACAGGGUUGGAUGGAGGAUGGAAGCUAUUACCCAAUCCUAUUAUUAUUUUGCCAAGGUAUGAUCCAUUAAGGACAGAAAUCGCUCCAGUUACUAUAACCUUGGUUCCCUGAGAUAAGGGAAAGAGUUUUGCGUCACUGGCGCUUAUGGGAAAGUCCCGUUUACUCUGAUACUGAAGCCUGAUUUGUUCACGUUC